GAAGGACCUUGUGUCGGAGGAGAUAAAGCCCGUGAGAGUGCUCUGUAGCCUGCAAGUGCCUUUAAAAGUGGGGGUCCCCCGACGGCUCUCUUUACUCCCGGCCUCCUCUUCCCAGAAAAGGGUUUCUGCUACCAUCUAAAGUAUCUGUGAAGAUCUUUCAAUUUUAUUUUUAUUAACAUUUUUUAAUUGAGGGGCGUAAGGAGAAAGCUUCACUCUCUUGAAACACCUUCCUUGACGUGACUUUGUUUCAUGUUUUGAUGUAAAAUAUCCGAAGUAAUGUGCGUGCUGGCUGCGUGUUGUCUGACCUUCUAACUUAACUCAGUGCCUCAUUCCAGUUCUCAACUUCACUUGCCAACAACGUACAGAACCAAGCACUGGGCAUGGUCCAGUUUUCCUUUUGUGGGACUUAAUGUAACAGCCAGCUGUAAUAAAUACGGUUCGUUUUUUA